GUAGGGAAUAUUGCACAAUGGGCGAAAGCCUGAUGCAGCAACGCCGCGUGCGCGAUGAAGGCCUUCGGGUCGUAAAGCGCUUUUCGGGGGGAUGAGGAAGGACAGUACCCCCGGAAUAAGUCUCGGCUAACUACGUGCCAGCAGCCGCGGUAAAACGUAGGAGGCAAGCGUUAUCCGGAUUCACUGGGCGUAAAGCGCAUGUAGGCGGUCCGGUAAGUCGGACGUGAAAGCUCCUGGCUCAACUGGGAGAGGCCGUUCGAAACUACCGGACUUGAGGGCAGUAGAGGGAGGUGGAAUUCCGGGUGUAGCGGUGAAAUGCGUAGAUAUCCGGAGGAACACCAGUGGCGAAGGCGGCCUCCUGGACUGCUCCUGACGCUCAGAUGCGAAAGCUAGGGGAGCGAACGGGAUUAGAUACCCCAGUAGUCC
rnacentral:rRNA from 1 species